rnacentral:rRNA from 1 species
ACACCGGCAGCUCUAGUGGUAGCAAUUUUUAUUGGGCCUAAAGCGUCCGUAGCCGGUUUAAUAAGUCUCUGGUGAAAUCCUGCAGCUUAACUGUGGGAAUUGCUGGAGAUACUAUUAGACUUGAGACCGGGAGAGGUUAGAGGUACUCCCAGGGUAGAGGUGAAAUUCUGUAAUCCUGGGAGGACCGCCUGUUGCGAAGGCGUCUAACUGGAACGGUUCUGACGGUGAGGGACGAAAGUUAGGGGCGCGAACCGGAUUAGAUACCCGGGUAGUCCUAACUGUAAACGAUGCGGACUUGGUGUUGGGGUGGCUUUGAGCUGCUCCAGUGCCGAAGGGAAGCUGUUAAGUCCGCCGCCUGGGAAGUACGGUCGCAAGACUGAAACUUAAAGGAAUUGGCGGGG